UGCGGGAUCGUCUAAUGGUAGGACGCCUGACUCUGGAUCAGGUAGUCUAGGUUCGAAUCCUAGUCCCGCAG
rnacentral:tRNA from 1 species